UACGUAGGGGCUAGCGUUAUCCGGAAUUACUGGGCGUAAAGGGUGCGUAGGUGGUUUCUUAAGUCAGAGGUGAAAGGCUACGGCUCAACCGUAGUAAGCCUUUGAAACUGGGAAACUUGAGUGCAGGAGAGGAGAGUAGAAUUCCUAGUGUAGCGGUGAAAUGCGUAGAUAUUAGGAGGAAUACCAGUUGCGAAGGCGGCUCUCUGGACUGUAACUGACACUGAGGCACGAAAGCGUGGGGAGCAAACAGGAUUAGAUACCCGGGUAGUCUCUGAG
rnacentral:rRNA from 1 species